AGUAAAAUAUUUUAAAAAAAAAAUUAAGUUUGCACCUUAAAAUUAGAGACUAUUCUCUUUUUACUG
rnacentral:tRNA from 1 species